AGGAUGAACGCUGGCGGUCUGCUUAACACAUGCAAGUCGAACGGGCGUAGCAAUACGUUAGUGGCGGACGGGUGAGUAACGCGUGAGAAUCUACCUUCAGGACGGAGACAACAGUUGGAAACGACUGCUAACCCCCGAUGUACCGAAAGGGCAAAUAUUUAUAGCCUGAAGAAGAGCUCGCGUCCGAUUAGCUAGUUGGAGAGGUAAAAGCUCACCAAGGCGACGAUCGGUAGCUGGUCUGAGAGGACGAUCAGCCACACUGGGACUGAGACACGGCCCAGACUCCUACGGGAGGCAGCAGUGGGGAAUUUUCCGCAAUGGAGGCAACUCUGACGGAGCAACGCCGCGUGCAGGAUGAAGGUUUUCGGAUCGUAAACUGCUUUUCUCGGGGACGAGCAAGGACGGUACCCGAGGAAGAAGCCCCGGCUAACUACGCGCCAGCAGCCGC
rnacentral:rRNA from 1 species